UCCCAUGUGGUCUAGUGGUUAGCUAUCCUAUAGGAUUCGUGGUUUUAACCCACGCGGCCAGGGUUCGAUUCCCGGCAUGGGAA
rnacentral:tRNA from 1 species